rnacentral:lncRNA from 1 species
CCAACAAGGUACUACCUAUACCACAAGCACCAGGGGCGGAGCCCCAUUAGGCCCAGUGCGGGCAAAUGCCCGCACUGAACUUUUGGGCUGGCCCAAAUUUUUUUUUUAAGCCUAGUUAACAGCAGCCCAAGUGAAGUAACCACAGCCCAUAACCCGUUUACCAACCCAGGCCCAUGACCCAUCAAUUAAAUAACCCGUUUGAAAUCAACAUCUAACCAAACCCGUUUGAACUCAAAAAUCUAAUCAAAACCUAAUCAAAAUCGCGUCUCUCUCCCCAUCUCUCGCCUCUCGCCUCAGGGUCGCCUGCUUCUCUCGAAGCUCCACCGGACUCUCGCUCGCUACUUCUACUUCCAGUCCUCCACCGGUGGCCGCAUCUCCUGGAUUAGUGUAUCAAAUAUCCCCAAAGUCGAAACUCGAAACCCCAAUUUUCCCCCACCCAAGUCCGCAGGCCGCCGCAACUGAACUGCCGUUUUGCAUCGAUGAAGGUAAUAUUUCAUGAAUUGUUCGACUACUAGUGUAAAAAAAUGUGUCCUUUAUGUCUAUGAAGCUUUUAUUUAUUGUCAUUGAUUUCCUGGACUGGCUGGAGCCGCUGGACAGAAUUAUUUCCAGAUGAAACGAAUGAAAUGGAACACGUUUAUUUGAAUAAUAAUUUGGCCGUGUUUGAGUGUUUCGAUUUGUAAUUUAAAAUUAUUUCCACUGCAUUGUAGUAUUCUAAGUGUUUUUCCCAAUUUUGCAAAAUCUUUUCUCAAGAAGAUUGUUCAAUUCAGUUUAGAAGUUAUUGUUCAAUUUAGAAGUUAUGGUUCAUUGAAUUCACUGUUUUUGGCUUAAAAAAUGAAGCUCGACCUUCAUGUUUAUUUGAUUGUCGAAAAUUUUAUGCAGUUGAUUUGGAUGGAGCAUUAUUUUCACUGUUUAUGCAGUUGAUCCGGAUGGAGCAUGUACUGCUAUCCAAUUCAUGACAUUUUGCAACAUAAACUCCUUUUUAACAGAGGUAUUUUAUUUGUCAGCCUACUGUCUUGUGUGUUUCAUCAUUUGUCAACUGGUUUGAUGCCUUUAAUUGUUUGACCCAAAUAAAAGCUUGAUUUCAAGUCAUCAAUUUUAC